GUGGGGAAUAUUGGACAAUGGGCGAAAGCCUGAUCCAGCCAUGCCGCGUGUGUGAAGAAGGUCUUCGGAUUGUAAAGCACUUUAAGUUGGGAGGAAGGGCAGUAAGUUAAUACCUUGCUGUUUUGACGUUACCAACAGAAUAAGCACCGGCUAACUUCGUGCCAGCAGCCGCGGUAAUACGAAGGGUGCAAGCGUUAAUCGGAAUUACUGGGCGUAAAGCGCGCGUAGGUGGUUCAGCAAGUUGAAGGUGAAAUCCCCGGGCUCAACCUGGGAACUGCAUCCAAGACUACUGAGCUAGAGUACGGUAGAGGGUAGUGGAAUUUCCUGUGUAGCGGUGAAAUGCGUAGAUAUAGGAAGGAACACCAGUGGCGAAGGCGACUACCUGGACUGAUACUGACACUGAGGUGCGAAAGCGUGGGGAGCAAACAGGAUUAGAUACCCUUGUAGCC
rnacentral:rRNA from 1 species